rnacentral:rRNA from 1 species
GACGGGGGGGGCAAGUGUUCUUCGGAAUGACUGGGCGUAAAGGGCACGUAGGCGGUGAAUCGGGUUGAAAGUGAAAGUCGCCAAAAAGUGGCGGAAUGCUCUCGAAACCAAUUCACUUGAGUGAGACAGAGGAGAGUGGAAUUCCUGGUGUAGCGGUGAAAUGCGCAGAUAUCGGGAAGAACACCCGUGGCGAAGGCGGCUCUCUGGGACGGUACUGACGCUGAGACGCGAAAGCGUGGGGAGCGAACAGG